AGCAGCCGCGGUAAUUCCAGCUCCAAUAGCGUAUAUUAAAGUUGUUGCAGUUAAAAAGCUCGUAGUUGAAUUUCGGGACCAAUUUGUUGGUCGUGCCUCGGUACGUACUGGUAUUAUUGGUUUCUCCCUUCUGAAGAACCUCGAUGCCAUUAAUUUGGUGUCGUGGGGAAUCAGGACUGUUACUUUGAAAAAAUUAGAGUGUUUAAAGCAAGCAUACGCUUGAAUACAUUAGCAUGGAAUAAUGAAAUAGGACGUUUGAUUCUAUUUUGUGGUUUCUAGGAUCGACGUAAUGAUUAAUAGGGAUAGUUGGGGGCAUUAGUAUUCAAUUGUCAGAGGUGAAAUUCUUGGAUUUAUUGAAGACUAACUACUGCGAAAGCAUUUGCCAAGGAUGUUUUCAUUAAUCAAGAACGAAAGUUAGGGGAUCGAAGACGAUCAGAUACCGCCGUAGUC
rnacentral:rRNA from 1 species